UGGGCGCUGGGUUCACACGUCCAACUUUACUUCUAAAGAGCUUUUGCGUGGCCAGAGAAAUCAACUGCUCGCCUAGUUGAAUGGAGUAGAUUUGCGCUGUGCCGUGGCAAGAGCUUUCCAGCAAGGCCCCCAGGGGCAUUGAAACCUUUCCUUCCGCAGGCCAAGAAGAGAGACUUAAGAGAACAGGCGCUCACUUCGUGACUCGUUCGCCUGGGCCUGGGUAGGAGUUCCCUCUGCUGUGCGACCUAACGUGGUCUUAUCGCCAAAGACGGGUAAACGGAGGGAGGCCCGAAGGACGAAAAGGUGCAACCCGGUGUUGCAAAGAAGUGAUCCGGAGCCCGUCUGUGCGUCAUGCACACGAUUUAAACCAGCCACUUACCGCAGGCUUCAACCAUUUGAGGAGUCCUAAAGCAACGGCCCGCUUUCCUGUACAAGGGACCGGAAACCCGGUUCGGAAGCAAGAGCGAACAGAAUUUGCAGACCGCGUUGUCUUUCCGCGAGGAAGUGCGCCGGCUCAUUUGGAGCGCGUGGCCCCCCGCUGUUUGAAAGUCUGCUCAUAUCGUGCGGUAUCCUGAGGGAACAACCCUUCUCGAUCUUCGACAUUCCCUUCUUCCCACCCCAGGUGGCCUCCCUAAGCAGCACCAGAGACCCCUCAUUUCCCCGACCAGCUCAAAAAUAAUUGGAGGAUGGAAUUCCCCACACCUUAAAUGUGGGCCGUGCACAGUGACUUCUGUCCAACGACUGCGGUAUAGACAGAAGGGCAAGCAACUUUCCUGGAGAAGAACCUGACCAACACUGCUCUUAGGCCAGACGCACAGCCCCCGUCUAAUCACGAGAAAGCGAAGCAGGCAUGUUCCAACGGGGGGCGUCUUACAGUGUCCCUGGCGGGUGCGCGACACCGUCCAGAUCCUCAGAAGCAAGGAAAGUCUGAGAAAACGGCACAGCCUGGGGGAGCCCCAGGAGGCAUAACUAGAUGUCGUGUGGCGUCCUGGAAGGGAUCCUGGGACAGAGAAAGGACACGAGGCCUACACGCUCCGUCUAGAGAACCCUGGUCUCUCCGGAAGGUAUAGAAUCUCUGAUUUCUAGCGUCUAAUUUUAAAGGUUGCUACAGGCAGGGGUAAUCGAGCACCUACCUGGCAAGUUUUUCUUCUUCCUCGUACAUAUCCGUGGCCACGAAAG